UACGAAGGGUGCAAGCGUUAUCCGGAUUCAUUGGGUUUAAAGGGCGUGUAGGCGGUCCGCUAAGUCUGAUGUGAAAGCCCGGGGCUCACCCCCGGAAGGGCAUUGGAAACUGACGGACUCGAGUCCCGAAGAGGAGGGUGGAAUUCCUGGUGUAGCGGUGAAAUGCGUAGAUAUCAGGAGGAACACCGGUGGCGAAGGCGGCCCUCUGGACGGUGACUGACGCUGAGACGCGAAAGCGUGGGGAGCAAACAGG
rnacentral:rRNA from 1 species